CUCCUCCACUAAACAGACUGGAGUCACCGACCUCGCCAAACAGUCUGACGGCCGAUUAUCGGGCUGGUGUGUCAGCGCCUUAACGUGAGAAAAAGUUAAA